UCCGUGUUAGCUCAGUUGGUAGAGCGUUAGGCUUUUAACCUAACGGCCGAGGGUUCGAACCCCUUACACGGAG